rnacentral:rRNA from 1 species
UACGGAGGGAGCUAGCGUUGUUCGGAAUUACUGGGCGUAAAGGGCGCGUAGGCGAUUUGAAAAGUCUUGUGUGAAAGCCCCGAGCUUAACUCGGGAAGUGCACAAGAAACUGUUGAAUUUGAGUUCCGGAGAGGAAGGCAGAAUUCCCGGUGUAGCGGUGAAAUGCGUAGAUAUCGGGAGGAAUACCAGUGGCGAAGGCGGCCUUCUGGACGGAUACUGACGCUGAGGCGCGAAAGCCAGGGGAGCAAACGGG